GGCGUUGGUUAAACGGUCGCGGUGCGGGCCCGCAAGGGCACUGCAUCGAGGAAAGUCCGGGCUGCAUAGAGCAAGGUGCCAGAUAACAUCUGGGGGGCGAGAGUCCACGGACAGUGCAACAGAGAACAGUCCGCCAGCGGCUCGUCGCAAGGCGAGUGCGGGCAAGGGUGAAACGGUGCGGUAAGAGCGCACCGCGUCGGUGGCAACACGCGACGGCACGGCAAACCCCACCUGCAGCAAGGCUAAAUAGGGGGAGCAUGGCGCGGCUCGCGUCUUCCCCGGGUUGGCUGCUUGAGGCCGACGGUGACGUCGGUCCCAGAGGAAUGACCGUUCACGACAAAACCCGGCUUAUCGACUGACCCGGGC
rnacentral:RNase_P_RNA from 1 species